UACAGAGGUCUCGAGCGUUGUCCGGAUUUAUUGGGCGUAAAGAGCUCGUAGGUGGUUUGGUAAGUCGGAUGUGAAAUCUCCAGGCUCAACCUGGAGGGGUCAUUCGAUACUGCCAUGACUAGAGGUCGGUAGGGGAGUGUGGAAUUCCUGGUGGAGCGGUGAAAUGCGCAGAUAUCAGGAGGAACACCGGUGGCGAAGGCGGAUCUCUGGGCCUUACCUGACGCUGAGGCGCGAAAGCUAGGGGAGCAAACAGG
rnacentral:rRNA from 1 species